rnacentral:lncRNA from 1 species
CACAGUUCUCCUAAAUAGUUCCCCCAACUUACCUCCCGUUUUGCUGCUUUGUAGGGGCUCUGACUCAGAAGCAGGACCUGGGGCUCCCCUCUCAGGGACCCCGCUUUGCCCUUCCUCAGCAAUCCUUUUUUUCUUCCCUCUCCUUUCAGUCCAAGCAUCUUGGUGAUUGUGAUUGGCCAUGGCUUCAUAGUGCAUUCUCAUGUCAUGAGGAGCUGUGUUAGAUCAGCUCCAGGUGGGCUGACCCAUUCCACCUGCAACUCAGAGCCUGCAACAGCUGGCUGGCCUUUAAUUUCCUGAAUUGGAAACAACCCUCGCUCAAGGAAUUCGGCCAUUAUGACAGAAUCUCGUGCUGUUGCCCAGGCUGGAGUACAAUGGUGUGAUCUCAGCUCACUGCAACCUCUGCCUCCGGAGUUCUCCUGCCUCAGACUCCCUAGUAGCUGGGACUGCAGGCACCCGCCACCAUGCCCAGGUAAUUUUUGUGUUUUUAGUAGAGAUGGAGUUUCAGCAUGUUGGCCAGACUGGUCUCGAACUCCUGACCUCAGGUGAUCCGCCCACCUUGGCCUCCCAAAGUGCUGGGUUAUAGGAGUGAGCCACUGCACCCAGUCCCCCAUGAUUUCUAUAUUACCAAAUGCAUUUUUCUUCAUGUUUGUUGUCAGUGCAGUGAGAUAAACCCAGAGGUUGAUGAAGGAUGUUUCUAUCUAUCGUUCGUCAAUCAAUCAAUCUUUAAUGAAAGGUGUUAGACAAUAUUUUUUGGUAAAAACAAACGUGGUGUGAGUUGAUGUUCUUUCUCUGAAUGGCUUUUGCUUCAUUUUACUUUAUUGGAGAGUCUGAGUUUAUCCCUAUGGCUUCGAACAUCCUAGUCACUAAAUAAAUAUAUUUUUUAACACUUUUGUUAAAAUUGAAACAACUUAACACUCAUUCUUAGAAAAAAUAUUCCAAUGACAAAUUUAGGAAACUUAUAUAUCAAGCUGAUAUUGUUAUUGGCAAGUGUGGGGCUAUUGGUGGAUGCUACUUGUAUUUUAGUUCUGUUGCUUUUGCUUUUUUUUAAUGACACAAAAUAUAUUUAAUACGUUAAAUGAGAGACUAGGAAAUAUAUUUAAAGAUCUUUCAGGCUGACAUAAUGACCGCAAAUAAGUAAGACAAAAAAGCUUUGGUAAAAUAAGUAGAAUUAAAAAAAUGCAGUUCUGUGAAUUAACACAAGAAAACAUCAGAUGAAGAAUAAAGUUUCUCUGCCAAAGUUCCAGCUCAACAGUGCUGUGAAUGUGAUGUGGCUGCUGCUGUUAGACAAUAUUAAAAAAUUUACAAAGCCCAGAGGUCGUCUUCCCCCAGCUCUUGGCCCUUCUGUUUAGUUUUGCAUGUCAUAUUCUAGAGAGAAUAUUUAAUAGCAAAUAUGUUAACUACAUCCGAAACACCUGGCCCAUAUAAUGAAGAGUAUGGAAACAAUGCCAAAUGAGGCAUGGCUAAAGAAAUUAGGAUUUUUGUCUAGAAAAGAGGAGACACAAUGGCCAUUUGAAAAUAGCUCUAAAGGGCUAAACCAGAAUCAAAGAGCUGGAAGUUACACAGGGAGACAGAUUUGGAAACGAAGACAUUUCUAACAUUACACCUGUUCUUAAAUGAAAUGGACUGCCUUACAAAGUCAUGAUCUUUCCAAGCUCCAGGGACCUUCAGCCACAGACUGAAGACCUAGAAUAAUCUUUCAGGGACAAUUUCUGUUCUGGGUGGGAGGUUGGAAUAAAAGUCACCACCCAACUCUUUAACAUUCUGGGAAUUUUAUGUUGCUAUGAUUGUAAUAGAAAUCACAAAGCAAUGAUAUUGAAUCUUCAUAGAAAAUUUGGAUGUGGAACAGCCAGUGGGGCAAGCAAAGUUACCUCAUCUUGAAUCGGUGUAACAAAGCCCUCAUUUGCAUAAAACCCAUCAUGGAGAUUUAAAAGUCUAGUGUCUUGGUCUUAGUCAAACUAAUAAAAAAUCACAUGAAGCAAUUUAUUUAAAAUUAAUAAAGAUCAUACGAAGCAAUUUAUUUACAGACACCUGCAAGCUAAAAGCAGAGUGUGUCUAAAGAUGAAAGUGUUAGAAUUAAUUAACAAAAGUUGUGAUAGUUAUGGAAAAGCUCUUUCCACAGGUCAGUAAAUUCUGGGCAUUAAUCAUUUCAGUUAUGAAUUGCACAAGUAGAGGGUUUUCAAGGAUGAGAGAGGAUGCUUGGAAAUGUGAUUACAUUUCUCAAAAUAUAUGUUAAUUUUUUAAUAAAAUUCUUUGCAGAGGAUCACCUCACCACCUUAUUGUUAUAAAAAUUUUAGAAUGGCUCUUGCUUAGAAUUACAUAUCAUAUGUACUUUCUGCACAUAUAAAGUUGGUUUUUGGCCAGGCGUGGUGGCUCAUGCCUGUAAUGUCGGCACUUUGGGAGGCUGAGGCAGGAGGAUCACUUCAGGCCAGGAGUUGGAGACCAGCCUGGGCAACAUAUUGAGACCCUGUCUCUAUUUUUAUUUUUAAAAAAUUGGUUUUCAAUGAAAUAGUUUCCUCCAGUUGCUACUACUGUGAGAUUAUGAAGCUCAUUUCAAGAUGCUCCUGUCCUGCUUAGAAAGCUGGUCUUCCCCUGGUUUUGCCCUUAACUUGAAAUCCAGCUUCAGUUUUAGUGGCCAAAGGGCCAUGUGGUAGCCUGCUUUAUAUCUGAACUCAGACCAAUGGGUAUCUUUUUUAGUUCUUCUGGUCUCCAAUGUCAACAGGUUUCUCCUGUCUACAUAGAUAGAAAACUGUUCUGGAAAUUUUGAAGCCUCCCUGUUUAGGCGAGGGAGAAGCAGUUUUGGAAAAAUGAAAAAAAAAAAGUACUUUUGGGGGGUACCUCUCACAGAAAUAGGCCACUUGGUGAGUCUAGGAUAUGAAACUACAGAACUUCACUUAUUUUGGUAGAGUAGAAUUCUAGCUCAUGGAAUUAGGAGAUGGAGCUUUAACUUGUAAUUUUUCCACUUUAUUUAAAGGGAGAGGCCUUUAAAUAAAUGACCUCUCCCAGCUUUAUUUUCUUCAUCUAUAAAAUGGGAACAGUAAUACCUACAUCAGAGAGUUUGUGGAUUAAGUGAAAUAAAAUGUAAACAUAGAUACAAAGUGUUUAUAUACAUAACACGUGCUUAUGAAAUAUAAAUUCCUUUUGCCCUCCUGUUUUUUCUCCUUUGGAUUGCUCAAAAAGUUAUUCUGCUCGACAUCACUUAUUAUAGAAACAUCUACAUAGGUUAAUUAUAGACAUUAAUUUAUUGUAAUGCUUUUACAUCACAGGUGGAACCACAUAGAGCUACACUUUCUCUAAUUUUUUUUUUUCUUUUUGAGACCAGGUCUCACUCUGUCACCCAGGCUGGAGUGCAGUGGUGCCAUCACAGCUCAUAGCAGCCUCAACCUCCUGGGCUCAAGCGAUUCUCCUGCCUUAGCCUCCUGAGUAGCUGGGACUACAGGCACAUGCCACCAGUACCAGCUAAUUUUUGUAUUUUUUUGUAGAGAUAGGAUCCUACUAUGUUGCUCAGGCUGGUCUCAAACUCCUGGGCUCAAGUGAUCCUCCCGCCUCAGCCUCCCAAAGUGCUGAGAUUACAGGUGUGAGCCACUCCCGUAAUCCCAGCAAAACCCCAUCUCUACAAAAAAUACAAAAAUUAGCUGGGCAUGGUGGAGCACACCUGUAGUCCCAGCUACUCAGGGGGCUGAGGUGGGAGGAUCGCUUGAGCUCAGGAGGUCUAGGCAGCAGUGAGCUGUGAUUGCACCACUGCACUCCAGCCUGGGUGACUGAGGCAUGCAAUGCACAUCCUAUCGCAAUUUUGUUAUAAGCUCGCAUGUGCUUAUAACAAAGCACAUGUUAUAAGCUUCAUGUUCCUUGUGGUUCUGUCAGCAAAAUAACUUCAUCAUGCCCCCUCUCUGGAAGUCCAAGCUUUGUACACAGGAUACCUCUGGGCUUGUCCCUUACCUGCUAUUUAAGUGCUAACUUUUAAAAAAGUGGUUGAACUAUUAACAUUUGCUUCUUUCCUGCAUUAUCAUUUCAUAUUGACAUUGAUAUUACAAAUGAGUACUUUGUUUUCAGAAGGGCUUGAUCAAUAUUUUCUGUUACCCAAGUGUCAUAUCUCAGCCACUGAAAAGUUUUUAAAGUGGUUUAUUACUUGUAGUAUUUUGUUCCUUGAGGAGGUUGUGUGGAUAAUAUUACUUGAGCUUCAUUUUGGGUGAUUUAUAUUCACCAGUUUGUCUCCUCCUGGGUGAACACUGUCUAAUUCCACGAAGUCGUCAAGCCAGUUUAGGCCACUUUCCUUAGAGCUUCAAAUACUUUAGCCGUUUACUCUGAGCUGCCUGCUGUGAACCUUGUUUCUUGUUUGUCAUCUCUGUGAGGAUGGAUGCCACGUCGACCAUUCUCAUCAUUCUUGUGUAUACUUCCCUGAGGUGAGAAAGAAAAAACAACCCUGUGAAUCUCUGGAUUAAAAGUCAACGGGUGAAAACCCAUGUGCGAGGCUGGGUGCGGUGGCUCACGCCUGUAAUCCCAGCACUUUGGGAGGCCGAGGUGGGCGGAUCCCAAGGUCAGGAGUUCGAGACCAGCCUGGCCAACAUGGUGAAACCCCGUCUCUACUAAAAAUACAAAAAUUAGCUGGGCUUGGUGGCGCGUGCCUGUAAUCCCAGCUACUCAGGAGGCUGAGGCAGGAGAAUCGCUUGAACCUGGGAGGUGGAGGCGAGAUCGCGCCGCUGCACUCCAGCCUGGGCGACAAGCGAGAGACUCUGUCUCAAAAAAAACAAACAAACAAAAAAGAAAGCCCAUGUGCAUGUGGGCAUGAGCUCUCCCUUCUUACAGUAAAUCCACUCUUAGAAAAAAGAAAUGUGUUCCUCUCAUUCAAAAGUUGAGGCUGAAUGCAGUCGUUCAUGCCUAUAACCCCAGCCCUUUGGAAGGCCGAGGUGGGAGGAUUGCUUGAGCCCAGGAGUUUGAGACCAGCCUGGGCAACAUAGUGAAACUCCAUCUCUACAAAAAAUAAACAAAAUUAGCUGGGCAUGGUUGCCUGCAGCUACUCAGGAGGCUGAGGUGGGAGGAUUGCUUGAGCCCAGGAAGUUGAGGCUGCAGGUGAAUCGAGAUGGCACCACUACACUCCAGCCUGGGCAACAGAGCGAGACCCUGUAACAAAACAAAGCAAAAAAAUUGCCUGGAGAGCUGAACUUUAGGGUCUCACAAUAAACAUAUUCCUAUUGUAGAGUUUUAAAAUAAUUUUAAGCUCCCCUCCCUUAAAGGCAUAAGUAGUGCAAGCUGACUCCGAGCACAUCCAGGAAUGCGCUUACUGAUGAGAUAUCGAGGCAAGCUAAAUCAGCAGUUCCUGAGGACGCGCUUGGGGGAUGGCACCCAAAGCCCCUGCAUUAUCUCUUUGUGAUAGUUUGAGCCCCUGCACCUGGAACUGUUUACUUUUCUGUAACUGUUUCUGUAACCAAUUAAUCUUUCUUAAUUGGUUUGCCUGUUCUGCUUCUGUAAAAAUUGCUUCAGCUAAACUCCCUCUCCCCUAUUUAGACCACGAUAUAAAAAGAAAUCUAGCCCCUUCUUCGGGGCCGAGAGAAUUUUGAGCUCUAGCCGUCUUGUUCGCCGGCAAUAAAAGGAC